rnacentral:rRNA from 1 species
AGAGUUUGAUCAUGGCUCAGAAUGAACGCUGGCGGCGCGCCUAAUACAUGCAAGUCGAGCGAGAAGACGUAGCAAUACGUUUGUAAAGCGGCGAACGGGUGAGGAAUACAUGGGUAACCUACCCUCGAGUGGGGAAUAACUAGCCGAAAGGUUAGCUAAUACCGCGUACGCUCCUUGGACUUCGGUUCAGGGAGGAAAGCGAUACCGUGGGUAUCGCGCUCUUGGAUGGGCUCAUGUCCUAUCAGCUUGUUGGUGAGGUAACGGCUCACCAAGGCUUCGACGGGUAGCUGGUCUGAGAGGACGAUCAGCCACACUGGCACUGCGACACGGGCCAGACUCCUACGGGAGGCAGCAGUAAGGAAUAUUGCGCAAUGGGCGAAAGCCUGACGCAGCGACGCCGCGUGGGGGAUGAAGGUCUUCGGAUUGUAAACCCCUUUCGGGAGGGAAGAUGGAAUGGGGUAACCCAUUUGGACGGUACCUCCAGAAGCAGC